rnacentral:rRNA from 1 species
AUUAAACGCUGGCGGCAUGCCUUACACAUGCAAGUCGAACGGCAGCACGGGGGCAACCCUGGUGGCGAGUGGCGGACGGGUGAGUAAAGCAUCGGAACGUAUCCUGGAGUGGGGGAUAACGUAGCGAAAGUUACGCUAAUACCGCAUAUUCUGUGAGCAGGAAAGCAGGGGAUCGCAAGACCUUGCGCUCUGGGAGCGGCCGAUGUCGGAUUAGCUAGUUGGUGGGGUAAAGGCCUACCAAGGCGACGAUCCGUAGCGGGUCUGAGAGGAUGAUCCGCCACACUGGGACUGAGACACGGCCCAGACUCCUACGGGAGGCAGCAGUGGGGAAUUUUGGACAAUGGGCGGAAGCCUGAUCCAGCCAUGCCGCGUGAGUGAAGAAGGCCUCGGUUGUAA